GGUCGGGUCCUGCGCAACUGAGCACCGUGAACCGAGUCAGGGCCUGACGGCAGCAGCUCUCAGCGGAUUGUUCCGUGUGCCGCAGACCAGCCUGACCACC
rnacentral:SRP_RNA from 1 species